GUGGGGAAUCUUAGACAAUGGGGGAAACCCUGAUCUAGCCAUGCCGCGUGAUCGAUGAAGGCCUUAGGGUUGUAAAGAUCUUUCAGGUGGGAAGAUAAUGACUGUACCACCAGAAGAAGCCCCGGCUAACUCCGUGCCAGCAGCCGCGGUAAUACGGAGGGGGCUAGCGUUGUUCGGAAUUACUGGGCGUAAAGCGCACGUAGGCGGAUUGGAAAGUUGGGGGUGAAAUCCCGGGGCUCAACCCCGGAACUGCCUUCAAAACUCCCAGUCUUGAGUUCGAGAGAGGUGAGUGGAAUUCCGAGUGUAGAGGUGGAAUUCGUAGAUAUUCGGAGGAACACCAGUGGCGAAGGCGGCUCACUGGCUCGAUACUGACGCUGAGGUGCGAAAGCGUGGGGAGCAAACAGGAUUAGAUACCCCAGUAGUCC
rnacentral:rRNA from 1 species